rnacentral:rRNA from 1 species
UACAGAGGGUGCGAGCGUUAAAUCGGAAUUACUGGGCGUAAAGCGUGCGUAGACGGUUAUUUAAGUCGGGUGUGAAAGCCCCGGGCUCAACCUGGGAAUUGCAUUCGAGACUGAAUAGCUAGGGUACGGUAGAGGGAAGUGGAAUUUCCGGUGUAGCGGUGAAAUGCGUAGAUAUGUGGAGGAACACCAGUGGCGAAGGCGACUCUCUGGUCUGUAACUGACGCUGGAGGAGCGAAAGCGUGGGGAGCAAACAGG